GAUGAACGCUGGCGGCGUGCUUAACACAUGCAAGUCGAACGGUGAAGCAGAGCUUGCUCUGUGGAUCAGUGGCGAACGGGUGAGCAACACGUGAGCAAUCUGCCUCUGACUCUGGGAUAAGCGCUGGAAACGGCGUCUCAUACCGAGUACGAGCUGCGACCGCAUUGGCAGUCGCUGGAACGAAUUUCGGUCAGGGAGGAGCUCGCGGACUAUCAGCUUGUUGGUGAUGUAGUGGCUCACCAAGGCGUCGACGGGUAGCCGGCCUGAGAGGGGGGGCGGCCACACUGGGACUGGGACCCGGCCCAGACUGCUACGGGGGGCAGCAGUGGGGAAUAGUGCACAAGGGGCGAAAGCCUGAUGCAGUAACGCCGAGUGAGUGAUGACGGCCUUCGGGUUGUAACCCUCAUUUAGCAGGGAAGAAGCGAAAGUGACGGUACCUGCAGAAAAAGCGCCGGCUAACUACGUGCCAGCAGCCGCCGCAG
rnacentral:rRNA from 1 species